rnacentral:rRNA from 1 species
GAUGAACGCUGGCGGCGUGCCUAAUACAUGCAAGUCGAGCGAACAGACGAGGAGCUUGCUCCUCUGACGUUAGCGGCGGACGGGUGAGUAACACGUGGAUAACCUACCUAUAAGACUGGGAUAACUUCGGGAAACCGGAGCUAAUACCGGAUAAGAUAUUGAACCGCAUGGGUCAAUAGUGAAAGACGGUUUUGCUGUCUCGUAUAGAUGGAUCCGCGCCGCAUUAGCUAGUUGGUAAGGUAACGGCUUACCAAGGGAACGAUGCGUAGCCGACCUGAGAGGGUGAUCGGCCACACUGGAGCUGAGCCACGACCCAGACUCCUACGGGAGGCAGCAGUAGGGAAUCGUCCGCACUGGGCGAAAGCUUGACGGAGCAACGCCGCGUGAGUGAUGAAGGUCUUCGGAUCGUAAAACUCUGUUAUUAGGGAAGAACAAAUGUGUAAGUAACUAUGCACGUCUUGACGGUACCUAAGCAGAAAGCCACGGCUAACUACGU